ACGCAACCACUCUCGGCUACCUUCGGCACGGUUCGGGCGUAGUCAGGUGGAAGGCAGAUUAUGGAAGAGGUGGAAAAGUAGCAACGGUACGAGACAAGCAUACAGAUAAUUGAGUAAUAAUCAAUUAGAGGAAAAAUUGUAUGAAAGGUUUAAUGUAAUGACAUAACAUACAUUGAAUCCUUAACAUACAUAUAACAUUACAUGAAUCUCCAAUAUUAAGAUUUUUAUGUCAUUUGGUUGACAUAUAUUCUGUUAUUACGUUUUUUACAUAACAAUUUAUGACAACUAGUUUUAUGGAAGCACGAGAAGACUAUUGUGUCUAUAAAAUAGUAAGUUUUAGAAACUAUAAUAAGUUUUGGAAGGAUGUGAUGUUUAUUGUUUUUUUAUCUUCUAUGUUGAAAUAAGUGAAUUUAUGACUAAAAGAUGAAAAGACGAAGGAAGGCAGACAUGGUCAGAAAAGGAGUAAAAACCAUUUAAAAAAUAAAUUAAACAUUUUUGCCUAAUAGUCAUCGGUGAAAAGCAAAA